UCCGGGAGGUUUUUGUUACUCGCC
rnacentral:snRNA from 1 species